CUCCAACUCCAACAUCUCCAGCACCCGCGUCGCCAGCCCAACACCACCCCGCGAUGGCCAUCCCUCGGUUCAGCACCACCCCGCGAAGGCCAUUCUUCAUCUGCCCAGUGCCGCCACUCCCCAAGAGCUCAUUGAACGGGGCAAACCAGGUUGCAUCCCUCGAAGACCCUCCUCCUCCCUCCUCCCUCCUCCCUUGACCAGCAACCCGCAUCACCAUCCCUCUGCCCAGCACUGACCCUCCCCACGAACUAAUUUAACGAACAACGACACAUUUCCGGUGGAGCUCUGUUUUGCCGCCGCCCCUGCAUGUGCAAAUCGAGCAAAAAAAUUUUAAGAUCUAAAGUUGGAGAUUCUUAAAGGGAUCGUGGGUUUGUCUCAUUGUUGAGUCGGUCAGUUUCAAUUGUCAUCUUCAAGCAUUCGGAGUUCAAGUUUUAUGACCCCUUUGCUUUUUGGACAUUCAUUCUUGGCAAGCAUUGGAGUUAUAGAACUACCCUACUAGAAGAUAUAUGCUUAGACCUUUGUUUGAGAUUGUAACAAACAUGGUUCAGAAACUAGAAACUAUAAAGGGUGGGGGAGGAUCCAUUAGGGUUGGUAUAACGGGAACUAUAGCCAAGAAAAUCAUCUGAUGUAAUCACAACCCUAUGUUUACUUGAUAGAGAUUGGCUCUGUAUGUAAUCACAACCCUCAAUAAUUUCUGUCUAGGUUCUUAGUGAUGUUAUAUCUGGUCAUGUUGAGCUGGCCAUGCAUAUUAUUUGCAUUCACUUUACAUAUGAAAAUUAUGCCUUUUGUACUAGUUCAACUGCAUAAUCUUGAAUUGCACAAAUUGUACAUAUUUAUGAAUUAUUAUCUGAAUAAUAAUAAAGCAUGCAUUUGUCA